rnacentral:rRNA from 1 species
CACAGAGGGUGCAAACGUUGCUCGGAAUCAUUGGGCGUAAAGCGCGUGUAGGCGGCACGACAAGUCAGCUGUGAAAGCCCCCGGCUCAACCGAGGAAGUGCAGCUGAAACUGUCGCGCUAGAGUGCUGAAGAGGGUGGCGGAAUGCGCAGUGUAGAGGUGAAAUUCGUAGAUAUUGCGUAGAACACCAGUGGCGAAGGCGGCCACCUGGGAAGCUACUGACGCUAAGACGCGAAAGCAUGGGGAGCAAACAGG